CGGACGGGUGAGUAACACGUGGGAACGUGCCCUUUGGUUCGGAACAACUCAGGGAAACUUGAGCUAAUACCGGAUGAGCCCUUCGGGGGAAAGAUUUAUCGCCAUUGGAGCGGCCCGCGUCUGAUUAGCUAGUUGGUGGGGUAAAGGCCCACCAAGGCGACGAUCAGUAGCUGGUCUGAGAGGAUGAUCAGCCACAUUGGGACUGAGACACGGCCCAAACUCCUACGGGAGGCAGCAGUGGGGAAUCUUGCGCAAUGGGCGAAAGCCUGACGCAGCCAUGCCGCGUGAAUGAUGAAGGUCUUAGGAUUGUAAAAUUCUUUCACCGGGGACGAUAAUGACGGUACCCGGAGAAGAAGCCCCGGCUAACUUCGUGCCAGCAGCCGCGGUAAUACGAAGGGGGCUAGCGUUGCUCGGAAUUACUGGGCGUAAAGGGAGCGUAGGCGGACUGUUUAGUCAGAGGUGAAAGCCCAGGGCUCAACCUUGGAAUUGCCUUUGAUACUGGCAGUCUUGAGUACGGAAGAGGUAUGUGGAACUCCGAGUGUAGAGGUGA
rnacentral:rRNA from 1 species